GUGGGUAUAGCUCAGUGGUAGAGCUCAUUCCUCGUAUGCUUGAGGUCCUGGGUUCAAUCCCCAGCACCUCCA
rfam:Camelus ferus unplaced genomic scaffold scaffold2268, whole genome shotgun sequence.